UACGGAAGGGGCAAGCGUUGUUCGGAAUCAUUGGGCGUAAAGGGUGCGUAGGCGGCGCGGAAAGUUGGGUGUGAAAUCCCUCGGCUCAACCGAGGAACUGCGCCCAAAACUACCGUGCUCGAGGAAGAUAGAGGUGAGCGGAACUUACGGUGGAGCGGUGAAAAUGCGUUGAUAUCGUAAGGAACACCCGUGGCGAAAGCGGCUACACUGGGUCUUCUCUGACGCUGAUGCACGAAAAGCUAGGGGGAGCAAACGGG
rnacentral:rRNA from 1 species